UGGGGGACUUCCCAUUUUUCAGUGUGUGUGUCGUGGUGGCGAGGAGCGGUGGUGUAGCUUCCUUUGGCUGCUGGUCCUCCUGCUCCUCCUUUCUUUUCCCCCUUUAGUCUUUUUUAACGCUUGUCCUCGUGUCCCUCUUCCUCCUCGUUGCCUUUCCAUCGUUAUCGUUAUCAUCAUCCUCGUCCUCUCCGCUGGCUUUGUGUUCCUCACCUUACAUCUGCAGAUGGGGCUCACCCUGCUCUUCCUUUUUCUGCUGCUUCAACGCUUCUCGAUUUUAAUUUUCUUUCUCCUCGUUCUCAUCUUUUAUCUUGUCCUCCACCACUUCUCUCCACACGAACAAGGACACACACACGCCACACUGUCACUGUCGAUCCGGUGUCAUUGCAACGUCUUGUUCAGGAAACCGGAACAAGGAGACAUGAAAGUUGGCAGUGCGUGUGGCUGUGGUGAGCGGCGGCGGCGGCGGCGGCGGCGGCGACGACGACGACGACGACGACGACGUGUGGCGUGGCGAGCGGGUUUCUGCAGUAUCCCUCUCCUUCCCGUUUUCUGUUCUUCCCCUUUCUCUUCUUCCGCCUAGUGUACUGCUACUCGCUCUUGUACGGUGACUUUUUUUUUCCUUCGUUGCAAUAUUUUGUCGUCUGUUUUCUCUUUUCUUUUCUUCUCGUGCUUUUUAUUCACAUUAUUAUUUCUUAUUCUAUUUUGUUUAUUUUGUGUGUUUGUACGUGUGUAUUUUCCUCUUCCACAUUUUAUUUGGAUUUUCUUAAUUUUUCUCGUAUUUUUCUAUUCUUCCUUGUAUCACACACACACACACACACACACACACACGCCGCGUAGUGUAGUGGUUGUUAGCACGCUCGGCUCACAACCAAGAAGGCCUGGGUUCGAAUCCCGGGAGCGACGAGGCAAAUGGGCGAGCCUCUUAAUGUGUAGUCCCUGUUCACCUAGCAGCAAGUAGGUACGGGAUGUAACCCGAGGGGUUGUGACCUCGCUGUUUUAUUAUUAAAUAGUUUGCAUAUUUAUUUAUCUACAUAUAUUAUUUGCAUAUUUAUUUAUCUACAUAUAUUAUUUUUAUUUUAUUAUUAUUAUUAUUAUUUAUUUUAUUUUAUUUAUUUAUUUAUUUUGUGUGUGUGUGUGUCGGGGAUGAGUUUUACAGCUCUCAUCGCAAGUUGUAUUAAAAUUCAAUAGCCACAUUUGCUCGCUCGUGUAUAUAUUGUUUAGUGUUAUCAGCGGUUCUUAAGAAACAGGAUUUUAAGAGAUUAUAAACUUUACGUGAUAUUAAGUUUUGUUUGGUUAACACUUGAUGCGCUUCAUCCUUCUCUCGCUCCUUGUUCGUGUUUCAUUCUCUUUCCUCAUGUAAACUGCUGUCCUCAUUCGUUUGUUCCCUUCUUUUAUGCACUUCAACCAUCCAGCCACAAUUUCUCGGUUGCCUCUGCACUUGUGUUGUCUUUUUCAUCUUGUAUUCUAAGGCAAUGGAACAGUCCGUUGAUUUCUGUUGCUAUUUUUAAAUUCUUGCACUAUAUACAUUUUUCAUAGAUUUUCCUGGAAACCAUGAUUUUAAGACCAAUUGAAAAGUGGGUGAGUGUUCGAAAGCACACACAAAAGUUCCUAAUUUCACCGUAAGUCACUGGAGGCAAACUUUAGAGAUUCAGUAAAUCUUUGUUAAUGUUGCUUUCUCCCCCUUUACAGAUUGCCUGUUCAUCUUUCCCUUCCUCAACGCUUUGUUAUUCUCGUCUUCCGCUUUUAUUCCUGCUUCACUUCUAGUUUCAAGAGACUCGGUUUGUGAGUCGUAUGCUUGCGUGCGUUGCAGUGGUGAGAGGAAAUGUGUGUGUGUGUGUGUGUGUGUGUGUUCUGGCUAGUGGACAGAAGACUUGUGUGUGGUGGGGUGGGGACAGUAUUUAGUGAAGGAAUGUGGUUGUGUGUGUGUGUGUGUGUGUGUGUGUGUUAGGAGGGUGGGAAUGGUGGUGGGUGACGGGGAGCGCGUCGUUGCAGUCUUAACAUUUUCUCUUGUUAUCCACGUCCUCUUUGUCAGCCUCCACCUUUUCUUGUCCCUGAGUUUUCUGCUUCCUUUUCUGCAUGAACUUACACAUAUCGUCGUCUCCUUUUACUUCUUCAUCCUUUUGCUUUUCAGUCGUGAUGGUCCUCGUCCAGCUCCUCGCCACCUCACCACACGCCACCACCUUCCCUGUUGAUGCUGCGUCAACUUUAUUGCAUCAACCCGACCUGAGCCGACUGCGGGAGUGACAAAUGGUUCCCUGGACGCCGUGUGUCACCGGAUUGCAGGCGAGCGUCAGGCGGACCAUGAGUCGGGACGCUGCCAAGUCCGUUGUCCAGAACCUGACCAGGAAAAUUUAAGAAGCGUGGCCUUGACCUUGCUCAGCAGUUGUGCCCUCACCUGACCUAUGUUAUGUUGCUCUGCGUUCAUUGUUUCUGGCAAAGUGAGUUAGUGCAGCCGUGCCUUCAGUGUGUCACCAUAAUUUGCAAGCAGUCGAUUUCCUGCUCUACUUUACCAGGUGGUAUUUGUUUUGAAAGAGAGUUGAGAAGUGGAUUAUGUCAUGCUCUCAACCUAAAUUUUAUACUUCUUUAUUCAUAACUGCAUCAACAGACCACCUGGGAAAAGUAAUGCUUUGUGCCUCUGUUUGUUUUCAUUUCACGACACGGUAGGAAGGGAGAGCACGUCCACGGAGCAAAGAAUUCAAGAGAUACCUCUUGGAAUUCUGGGAAAAUAGGAUGCGCAUUUCUGGUCGUCCUUCAGAGAAGCUAAUGUUAUGCAUGCGUAUGCCAUUUAAAUUCAGCGAAGAAAUUUGAGAAAUACUUUUGAAAAAUGUUUUAACGAACUCCUAUCGUUAAAUCUUCAUAAGAAACGUUUGCACCAUAAAGUAACGAAAUUUUGUGCCUCACAUCCAGCAUCAGAGACCAUAAGAGCACCAGCAAGGUGUAUUCGAGGAGCAGUGUUAAGAUGUGCAUAAACAAAGUAAAAUAUACGUAGUGCUGACAGGCAUCACAGAAAAGAAAACUUGUAAUAACAUUCCAAAGGAAAAAACUUUUAACCAGUACAGUGUUGCGCUUUGUCAGAGAUAGUGGUCUUGUCAGGCUGCAUUUCUUUUUCCUAUGCUUUUUAU